rnacentral:rRNA from 1 species
UACAGAGGGGGCGAGCGUUGUUCGGAAUUACUGGGCGUAAAGGGCGCGUAGGCGGCCUUCUAAGUCGAACGUGAAAUCCCCGGGCUCAACCUGGGAACUGCAUUUGUGACUGCAUGGCUGGAGUGCGGCAGAGGGGGAUGGAAUUCCGCGUGUAGCAGCGAAAUGCGUAGAUAUGCGGAGGAACACCGAUGGCGAAGGCAAUCCCCUGGGCCUGCACUGACGCUCAUGCACGAAAGCGUGGGGAGCAAACAGG